AUCUGCAUCCGCAGCGCGGGGACACGUGCGGGGACAGCGGGGGGCGAGCACCUCGGAGAGGGCUCAGCCACCUUCACCUCGCUGCUCCCGCAGCCCCGGCCCCGGGGACUGCGGAUCUCAGCCGUGACGCACGGAAACCAGGAGGGUUCGGAGCCUGGAAAUCGCUGGAAAUGGGGAUUUUAGCUGGAGCUGAUGGAGGCCAGACAAAGUCUCCAACAGCUGUGGAGCUCAGAGGCCAAGCCAGAAUCGCUGCCAGCCCCUGACAAGAGGUGAUCUACGAGCAGUUCUGUGUUUGAUGGCUCAUGGCAGAGAGAACUCAGCUGAAGGCAAGAAGGGAAAGAUCAGGAAAAGCAGGGGAGCCCUGCAGGAGGCAGCUCUGAGAAGAACAACUCUUCCAAGAGCUGCCUUUGUCCAUAAUAAAUCUCCAAGGAAAGCCCAGCAGAUGUGGAGGGUGGGUGCUCCCCGCAGACCUUCGCCACGUCCUGCAUUGUUCACCCAGGACCUCGGCUCCGAGGAAGAUUCCCAGAAUUCUUGGAUUGCUUCGGCUUGAAGCAACUGAGAAAACAUCUUGGGCUGUUUGACCUGCUGGGUCGUGAAAAUAAAUAUUUGGAGGAAGGAAUUUCUGUGGGAUAUUGCCCAAAUCCAAGGGCUCGUGUGUUGCUCUGGCUCACGAGGGGACAGGUCCGUGUCAUGUCCAUGGCAGGGGGACCUGGGGACAGGAGCACUGGUGGCUUUUCCAGCAAUUGCUGCUGCUCUGGGCUGGGCAGGCACAGGGGUGGGAACUGGGAAAUGCAGGAAUAGGGAACACAUCUGCUCCUUCCCUGCAUGACACGAGACAGGACCAGCAGGAAUAACCACACAGAGCUCAGGUUUGGCUGCCUCAGAGCAAACCUGGGCCUUCCCUCAGUCCCUGUUCCAGCCUGGGCAGAGUGGAGCGGCAGCAGGACAAGAACUGCACACGUCAGGAAUGAAAAUCCUCUCUGGAAUGAAAAGUGGUCUCACUGCUCCACUGUUUCUGCUGGCAGUGAGUGGAGAACUGUCUUGGGUUGCAAUACAGGAUGUGGCCAGAAAUGUGAAUUCUGUCCCCAUCUGCUGCAGCCGGGUGGGGCAGUGACCCUGAUCUCCUGGCACACAUUAUCUGCUAAUGGGCCAUCUUUAAACCAGCUGGGCAAUCAUCUUUAUCUUCCCACAGCCCAUCCUCCCUCCAGGAGAUAUCUCCUGUUAAUGGCCAGUG